ensembl:lncRNA
GGCAAAUGGGCAAGGACACUUGACAAUUAUUUUAGGUUACCUGAUACAUUUAUCCUCCAUCAAACUUACUGGUGUAACAGAAUCUGACUCUUGACACAAGGAUAGAUGCAUCAGUUGCAGUACUUGGUGUCCUGGACACAACUAUUGACUCAAGCAGAACCAGCUAGAGCACUUCUCUGGGACUGAUACUCAGAAAUCGAAGAGAGACCUUGUCUUAUCAGUGAGGUUUCCAAACCAGAAGGAAGUGAAUCUAGAAUAAUAAUAGCCAUUUAUUCUCCUUGCCUUACAGAGAGCCUGCCUUCAAUCUGGAUUCAAGCAGAGACCUGGAGAAAAAAGACGUGGAGUCUUAGCAGCACGAAUUUCCUGAUCCAGCCCGUAAAGCUCAGGUUCCUACAGUUCUUCCUCCAGUUUUCUGAGGCACCCCGCGUCUCUCCCAGCUGGAUGCUUGGCUAGCCCAGGGGCACGGCGCUGGUGCCACCUCUGGGCAGGGCCCGGGGAGGUCAGAGCUUCCUUGUUUAGGGGCCAGGUGCUUCCUGGGUAAAGAAACUUCUGUUGGAGGUAAGCACAGUUCUUUGCAAUUCUGUAGAUCAUAGAACUAUAUAAUUCUAUAAACCGAGACUGA